CGCCUACUAGCUAGCCCCACUAAUCAAGCUCAACAAACAAAUAUAAAUAAACCCAAAAACACUUAUAACUUAUUAAACAAAACAUUUUUCCUCCUUAGUAUGGGAGACAGAAAAGGAUAACUAAGGGCGCAAUAGAAAAAGUACCGCAAGGGAAAGCUGAAAGAGAGAUGAAAUAGACCAGUGAAGCCAAAAAAAGCAGAGAUUAUUCCUCGUACCUUUUGCAUCAUGAUUUAGCCAGCACCCUCAAGCGAAGUGAACUUCAGUUUGAAACCCCGAAACUGUGUGAGCUACUCCAAGACAGCCUAUUAAUAGGGCAAACCCGUCUCUGUGGCAAAAGAGUGGGAAGAGCUUCGAGUAGGGGUGACAGACCUAUCGAACUCAGUUAUAGCUGGUUGCUCGGGAAUUGGAUAAAAGUUCAGCCUCAUGGCUUCUCCAUUCAUCCACCAGUAAACACCGAAUGAUUAAAAGAAACCCUGAGAGUUAGUCAAAAGGGGUACAGCCCUUUUGAACAAAGACACAACUUUUCUAGGAGGAUAAAGAUCAUAAUUUUUAAGGCGAAAUGUUCCGGUGGGCCUAAAAGCAGCCAUCCUAAUAGAAAGCGUUAAAGCUCGAACAUAUUUAUUAACCUCCCCAUAUCCUGAUAUCCUUAUCUUACUCCCCUAACUGUACCGAGCCUCCCCCAUGUACACAUGGGGGCGACCCUGCUAGAAUGAGUAAUAAGAGAGCCCAACCCUCUCUCCCCGCACAUGUGUAAAUCGGAACGGACCCACCACCGAACAAUAACGGCCCCAAACAAAGAGGGAACAGGACAAACGUAAAAACGCUCAAACUAGAAAAUCGUCCCGACUAUUACCGUUAACCCUACACUGGUGUGCUAACUGGGAAAGACUAAAAGAAAGAGAAGGAACUCGGCAAACUUUUCUAAGCCUCGCCUGUUUACCAAAAACAUCGCCUCUUGCAAAACCAAAGAAUAAGAGGUCCCGCCUGCCCGGUGACUAUAUGUUUAACGGCCGCGGUAUUUUGACCGUGCGAAGGUAGCGUAAUCACUUGUCUUUUAAAUGGAGACCUGUAUGAAUGGCAUAACGAGGGCUUAACUGUCUCCUCUUUCCAGUCAAUGAAAUUGAUCUCCCCGUGCAGAAGCGGGGAUAAACACAUAAGACGAGAAGACCCUAUGGAGCUUUAGACACCAAGACAGAUCAUGUUAAGCACCCCCUGAUAAAGGCCUGAACUUAGUGACCCCCUGUCCUAAUGUCUUCGGUUGGGGCGACCAUGGGGCAACACAAAACCCCCAUGUGGAAUGGGAGAACAACCCCAGUAUAUUAUUUUCCCAUACUCCCAGAAGCAAGAGCCACAACUCUAGCUAACAGAACUUCUGACCUUUCAUGAUCCGGCUUUCGCCGAUCAACGGACCAAGUUACCCUAGGGAUAACAGCGCAAUCCCCUUUUAGAGCCCAUAUCGACAAGGGGGUUUACGACCUCGAUGUUGGAUCAGGACAUCCUAAUGGUGUAGCCGCUAUUAAGGGUUCGUUUGUUCAACGAUUAAAGUCCUACGUGAUCUGAGUUCAGACCGGAGUAAUCCAGGUCAGUUUCUAUCUAUGAAGCUAAUCUUUUCUAGUACGAAAGGACCGAAAAGAAGAGGCCUAUACCUCAGGCAUGCCUCACCCUUACCUAAUGAAGCCAUCUAAAAUAGGCAAGAGGGAGCACCCCUAAUGCCUAAGAGAACGGCAU
rnacentral:rRNA from 1 species